CUCAAGAAGUAAACCGUCCUUCAAUUGCAUGAGAAGAAUUCCACAGUCAAAUGGCUGCAACCAGUUGGGAGGUAUGGGAUCUAUCAGGACAAAAACUGAAGUACCUUCCUCAGGACCUUCUGGCACCAGUUACUUUGUAUACAAGUGUGGAUUUGCAGAGGAACAAACUAAAGCGUGUCACCGGCAUCUCCAAAAACACCAACAUCACAGAGCUUAAUCUGUCCAGGAACAAGAUAAUCGAGUUUUCUCAAGAAAUCUGCAACUUGAAAAAUUUACAGACACUCUAUAUGAAUCAUAACAAUGUCAGAUCAAUUCCAGAAGGAAUCUUCCCACAUCUUAGAAAUUUAAAGUUCCUAAAACUCAGCACCAAUCGCCUGGCAAGGCUUCCUUCAGAUAUAAACCAGUGUACCAGUCUUACUUACCUGGACCUUUCCAAAAACUGCCUACAAAACAUCGAACCACUAGUUGGGCUACCAAAACUGAGGGAGUUAUUGGUUGAGAAGAACCAGCUUACAGAGCUACCAUCCCAGCUUUUCCAGAAAGGUAGCUGUGAGCUGACCAAGUUCAAGGCCAUGUGUAAUCCACUAAGGUGUCCACCAGAGGAAGUCUGUGCUGGAGGGGUCAUGGACAUUCAGAGCUACUUCCUUCAAAUGAAGGAGAACCCCAAUGCUCACACUACCUGGACAGUUAAAGCAAUGUUUCUGGGCUCUUCCAUGGCCGGGAAGUCCACACUCUGCCACAGCCUUAGGGAAGGGAAGCCUGUGGCAGUUGCAAUGAAGGAUCGGACGGAAGGAAUAGAUAUCACUCGGCUAUACACCCAUGAAAUCCGCUUCCUUCUCUGGGACUUUGCAGGGCAGGAGGAGUACUAUCUGACACAUCAUAUCUUUAUCACACCAAGAGCACUUGUUAUCCUCACUGUCAAUUUGGCCAGCUAUAGCACUGUAGACCCAGAGUCUUUCAAAGACCAGAUUUGGUUCUGGUUAAACAACAUACAGCUACGUGUGCCAAAUGCAGUGGUCAUGCUUGUGGGAACACAUUGUGAUCAGUGCAGAGACCUGGAAGAGGUAAUGGAGAAGAAGAAAGACAUUGAUGAGAAGAUUAACAUAAUGCUGGUAAACAGAAAGAUGGUUUUAAAGUACCAGAAGAAAAAUCUGGAAGAAAAUACAGACCCAUUUCUCUACAUGGAUCAAGUGGAUGAGAUUGAUUCCCUUUUAGAAUACAGUUUGAAGGUGUUGGAUCUUCUAACUCUUGACUGCACAAAGACUCAGGAUAUUGUAAGAUUCAGAAGUCAUAUUUUGAAAUGCAUUCAAUCAGAAAGCGCUUUCCUGUGUUCUGAGACCAUCUUACCACAAAGUUAUGAAGAAGUGGAACAAGCCAUCCAAAAACUUGUUACACUAGAACAGAUUCCUCAACAUGGUAUUAUUCUACUUGAAGAACUCUGUGAUUUAAUAAUGAACCAUGUAACACAGAGCAAAGAGCACCUCCACUCCAUAUUGCAAUUCCUCUUGCGAUAUCUGCACAGAAUUGGGGUUAUUAUUUGGUAUGAAGAUAUUGAUGUACUACGUGACCAUGUGUUUAUCCAGCCUUCAUUCCUCAUUUCUAUGUUCAAGACCAUUGUGAGACAUGACCUGGUGCAGCAGCUUGAGAGAAUCUCAAGAGACCUACUCAUGCAAGAAGGAGCUCUGAUGAAACAAAGGUUCAUCUGGGUGGAGGACUUGCGGUGCAGAGGCACCCUGCACAAUGCAGCCCUGCGCAUCUUAGUCCGGAGGGAGUUAGAGAAACUGGUCAUAGAUGAUGAUGAUUUGGUCAGAGAGGUAGUAGGUAACAAAAAGGAGGAAGGCAUAAUUCUCACCCUGUUGCAGCACUUUGAGGUUUGCCUCCCAACUCUUGUCAGAAGCCCCAUGAACCCCCAAGCACCAGACUUCAUCCCAGGAGAAAAUCACUGGGAGUCAGUCAGGGAGUCAAAGAGAGACCCUGAUGGAGCUUGCCUCUUCCCCAUCUAUCUGAAGGAUGACCUCAUAGUAUGUCAGAAAUGGGGUGAGAACAAGCAGGAUGAUCUCAGAGUGCAUGUGUACGUCCUUCCUGAGGUUCCACAUGGCUUCUUUCACAGACUGAUCAUUAAGACGUGCUCUCUUUACUCGACUCACUGGGUGGGAAAGGAGCAGUGUCUCCUCUGCUGUGGAAACAGACUUGCUCUGUUUAGACAGGGGGACAACAAUGGGAUUCCUUUAUAGAGAUACGCUGCCGAAGACCUGAGAAGGAUGAAGAGUUUCGGCAGAUGUGGGAUCUGAUCUUGGCAGUGAUGUCCAAGCUGUUUGUGCUGUCAAGGCAGUGGCCAGGACUGACCCAGCAGGUACACACUCCCUGUCCAGAGAGAGGCUGUCUGCAUUAUUUUACCUGGAGGGACUGGCAGGAACUGAACAACACCAACCUUUACAGUCUUGUCAAGGAGGAAAAAUUAGUUUGCCAGGGAGGCCAUACACGACGAACGGAAUUCAUUUUUCCAAAAGCUGCCACUUCGCAGUGAUGACUGAUGAGAAUGACGUCAAAGAAGACAAACACAGCAUCACAACCUCUUAAGCAAUAUGUUUAGUGGAAAAAUGUUUUUUGUGCUAGCCAAUUUUAUCUUCUUUUUUAGUGACUGGUAUGAGUAUUAUUUGGAAAAGUGUCACCAAGUAUUAGGUUCAGGGCUGAGGCUGAUUUUGUAAUAAAUGCUUUGUAAUAGAUGUAUUUAAAAAUACUCCAGAAGACUACUUGCAUUUCUAUUUUUGAUAUGCAGCGUUUCAGUGUUUAUGUGUACAAUGACAGCCUCUGCUGGCUCUUGAAGACUGUCAGCUAUGUUUUUCUUUGUGAAGACAAGUUGUAGACCUUACAGUGUUACAUGAAAAAUUACAACUGCUGCAUGUAAAACAUUUAAGCUGAUCUUUAAUAAUAUGAUAGUCCAAAUCAAUCCGGUCAUCUGCAAACUCCUAAAAUAGGCUUGCUACCCCUGUAUUUCUCUAGUUUUUCAUCAGUUCCUCAAAACUCUCUUCUACGUGCUGGCUCAUGCUGCCUUCAGGGUCUACUCGUAAAUGUCAUGAAGAAUGGUUAAUUGUUAAACCCCUGUAGUCAAAAGAAAUGACAUGUUAUUAAUUACAUAAACUGUCGCUGUCAUAUAAAAAAUACAUGUCAGAUUAUCAUAUAUUUUGGUAGUCUUUUUUGUAGCCACUCGUGCCUGUAUGAAAAAAAAGUCCUCACAGCAAACUGAACUGUGUAGUCUGAGUUAAAUCCAUAUAGAACAGAACCCAGUGAGUUAAUGUCCUAUAGGUCAUAUAGCAGUAAUUUUCUCUUCUCUUCUGUCUAAAGACGGAAAUCGACUGUCUGAAGUCUAUUUUCGUGUCUUCUGUUUUGGAAAUAACCUGCUUAAAUGUAAAUCUGACACUUGUUCAAGUGAAGAAUGAGGUAAUCGAAUUGAUCAACUUCUGGACGUACACAACUUACAUGUUUUUCAGAAAUAUUUAUGCAAAUGCUUAAGACCCUCCUGAAGUUCUAAAUUUAGGUGAUGUUUUUAGGAAAUUACAUCUCAGCUAUGUAACUCUGUUUAAAAACGAGAGGGAGAGAAUUAUAAGACCAUGGCACCUUGGUCAACACUCACUUUAAGGUUGUGCUGAGCA